AGGAUAAACGCUGGCGGCGUGCCUAACACAUGCAAGUCGAACGUCUCUUUCUUCGGGAAGAGGAGUGGCGGACGGGUGAGGAACACGUGGGAACCUGCCCUACAGUGAGGAAUACCGGCGAGAAAUCGCCGACAAGACCGCAUAGCCCUCUCUGGUGAGAGCCAGAGAAGGAAAGCUUCGCAAGAGGCGCUGGAGGAGGGGCCUGCGUCCGAUUAGCUAGUUGGUGGGGUAAGAGCCUACCAAGGCGUCGAUCGGUAGCUGGUCUGAGAGGACGAUCAGCCACACUGGGAUUGAGAACGGCCCAGACUCCUACGGGGGGCAGCAGUGAGGAAUUUUCGGCAAUGGGGGAAACCCUGACCGAGCAACGCCGCGUGCAGGAAGACGGCUCGGUGUAACUGCUUUCUUUGGACGUAGCAAGGACGGUACCAGAGGAAUCAGCCCCGGCUCACUACGUGCCAGCAGCCGC
rnacentral:rRNA from 1 species